ensembl:snoRNA small nucleolar RNA, H/ACA box 52
GGGUCCAUCCUAAUGCCUGCAGGUCAGUGCCAGUACCUGCUAGGUUUCGCUUGUGGACCAGAUUAAACUGGAAAGUGCUCUUAAAUAUGAGUUUACAGUUAAGUCUGCUCGUAACAAGAGUUUUCUGGACAUGU